rnacentral:rRNA from 1 species
AGUCAAGUUAUUAAGGGCUCACGGUGAAUGCCUUGGGAUCAAGGACCGAAGAAGGGCGCGGUAAGGCUGCGAUAUGCCUCGAUUAGCUGUCUAACGAGCUUAGUCGAGGAUUCCCGAAUGGGGAAACCCGUUCCGGUGUUGAGCCGGUUCAUCUGCAUUUGUGCAGAGGGUAAGUGGGGGAACUGAAACAUCUAAGUACCCUGAGGAAUAGAAAUCAACCGAGAUUCCCCUAGUAGUGGCGAACGAACGGGGAAUAGGCCAAACCAUUAUGACUUAGUGGCGUAAGGGCCUAUGUCAUAGUGGUGUCAUAGGAGGCACCUGGAGUUACCUUGCUAAACUCCAAGAAGUUACAAAAUAUACAUUUAGUCGAAGGACCCUGGGAAGGGCCGUCAUAGAAGGUGAGAACCCUGUAGACGAAAAGUGUAUAUCUUCUGGUGCAUUUCCUAAGUACCACGGGACACGAGAAAUCUUGUGGGAAGUCGGGGGGACCACCCUCCAAGCCUAAAUAUCCUUGAUCACCGAUAGCGAACAAGUACCGUGA